rnacentral:rRNA from 1 species
UACGAAGGGUGCUAGCGUUGUUCGGAAUCACUGGGCGUAAAGCGCGCGUAGGUGGCUUUGCAAGUCAGAGGUGAAAGCCCGGGGCUCAACCCCGGAAUUGCCUUUGAAACUGUAAAGCUUGAGUGUCGGAGGGGAUAGCGGAAUUGCUAAUGUAGAGGUGAAAUUCGUAGAUAUUAGCAGGAACACCGGUGGCGAAGGCGGCUAUCUGGACGACAACUGACACUGAGGCGCGAAAGCGUGGGGAUCAAACAGG